rnacentral:rRNA from 1 species
CCUACGGGUGGCAGCAGUGGGGAAUAUUGCACAAUGGGCGAAAGCCUGAUGCAGCAACGUCGCGUGAGCGAUGACGGCCCUAGGGUCGUAAAGCUUUGUCUUCAAGGAAGAUAAUGACGGUACUUGAGGAGUAAGCCCCGGCUAACUACGUUACAGCAGCCGCGGUCAUACGUAGGGGGCUGGCGUUAUCCGGAAUUACCGGGCGUAAGGGGUGCGUAGGUGGUUUCUUAAGUCAGAGGUGAAAGUCUACGGCUCAACCGUAGUAUGCCUUUGAAACUGGGGAACUUGAGUGCAGGAGAGGAGAGUGGAAUUCCUAGUGUAGCGGUGAAAUGCUUAGAUAUUACGAGGAACACCAGUUGCGAAGGCGGCUCUCUGGACUGUAACUGACACUGAGGCACGAAAGCGUGGGGAGCAAACAGGAUUAGAUACCCCAGUAGUC